UACGUAGGGCGCAAGCGUUAUCCGGAAUUAUUGGGCGUAAAGAGCUCGUAGGCGGUCUGUCGCGUCUGCUGUGAAAAUCAGGGCUCAACCCUGGACCUGCAGUGGGUACGGGCAGACUAGAGUGCGGUAGGGGAGAUCGGAAUUCCUGGUGUAGCGGUGAAAUGCGUAGAUAUCGGGAGGAAUACCAGUGGCGAAGGCGGCCUUCUGGGCCGUUCCUGACGCUCAGACGCGAAAGCGUGGGUAGCGAACGGG
rnacentral:rRNA from 1 species